GACGAACGCUGGCGGCGUGCUUAACACAUGCAAGUCGAACGGAAAGGCCCUGCUUUUGUGGGGUGCUCGAGUGGCGAACGGGUGAGUAACACGUGAGUAACCUGCCCUUGACUUUGGGAUAACUUCAGGAAACUGGGGCUAAUACCGGAUAGGAGCUCCUGCUGCAUGGUGGGGGUUGGAAAGUUUCGGCGGUUGGGGAUGGACUCGCGGCUUAUCGGCUUGUUGGUGGGGUAGUGGCUUACCAAGGCUUUGACGGGUAGCCGGCCUGGGUGGGUGACCGGCCAAAUUGGGACUGAGAUACGGCCCAGACUCCUACGGGAGGCAGCAGUGGGGAAUAUUGCACAAUGGGCGGAAGCCUGAUGCAGCAACGCCGCGUGCGGGAUGACGGCCUUCGGGUUGUAAACCGCUUUCGCCUGUGACGAAGCGUGAGUGACGGUAAUGGGUAAAGAAGCACCGGCUAACUACGUG
rnacentral:rRNA from 1 species